rnacentral:rRNA from 1 species
CCUACGGGAGGCAGCAGUGGGGAAUAUUGCACAAUGGGCGAAGCCUGAUGCAGCAACGCCGCGUGAGCGAUGAAGGCCUUCGGGUCGUAAAGCUCUGUCCUCAAGGAAGAUAAUGACGGUACUUGAGGAGGAAGCCCCGGCUAACUACGUGCCAGCAGCCGCGGUAAUACG